AGGCUUUGAUCCUGGCUCAGGACGAACGCUGGCGGCAUGCCUAAUACAUGCAAGUCGAACGCCGACGCACUCUGCUUGCAGAGUGUUGAGGAGUGGCGAACGGGUGAGUAACACGUGGAGAACCUGCCCAUAAGAGGGGGAUAACAUCCGGAAACGGGUGCUAAUACCGCAUAGGUGGCUGGAGCGCAUGCUCUAGUCAUGAAAGACGGCUUCGGCUGUCGCUUAUGGAUGGCUCCGCGGCGUAUUAGCUAGUUGGUGAGGUAAUGGCUCACCAAGGCAGUGAUACGUAGCCGACCUGAGAGGGUGAUCGGCCACACUGGGACUGAGACACGGCCCAGACUCCUACGGGAGGCAGCAGUAGGGAAUCUUCCACAAUGGGCGAAAGCCUGAUGGAGCAAUGCCGCGUGAGUGAAGAAGGUUUUCGGAUCGUAAAGCUCUGUUGUUAGAGAAGAACAAGAGGUGUAGUAACUGGCACCUCCUUGACGGUAU
rnacentral:rRNA from 1 species